rnacentral:piRNA from 1 species
UCUUAGGUGUUGAUGAAGGUCAAAGUCGU